AUGCGCCAGCUAAAGCUCGUCACUAACAUGAGGGCUCAUAAUGACACUUGGUUUGCGGAUUACUUGCUAAGGGUAGGCAAUGGCACCGAGGAAGUUGACGAUCAAGGAAACAUACGACUCCCUGAAGAUAUUUGUGUGUCGUCUACGGGCGAGGGUGACGACCUGGAGAAGCUGAUUGACCAUGUGUUUCCGAGACUAGCUGACAACAUGUCCGAUCCGAAUUACAUGACUUCACGCGCAAUCCUCUCCACCACGAACGACAACGUCGACAAGAUAAACAUACGCAUGGUAGAG
rnacentral:rRNA from 1 species